AUGAGGUUAAGCCUCAACUGCUAUGAGAGAAGGAAGCAGAGUGGGGAGGACGGGGUGGAGGAGCAGGGCCCGGAGCCUGGGAGGGAAACUGACAAGGCAGUUCCCUCAGGUUCAGCGGGCAAAGAUUAUGCCCAUGGAACCAGACUUCAGGGAUCAGGAACCACAGCCGGGAACCUGGAAAACAGAGGCGCCGAGGUUCAGAAAGGGGGCUGCCGAAGCCCUGGUCAGGAACCCCAGCAGGCCCGGGGUGCAGGCAGCCCAAGGGAAGAACAGGCCUUUUCAGCGUCACCCCCUCUUACCAGACCAGCUGACCGAAGAGACACAGGAGCGAGCUCUAAGUAUCGAUCCCAGAUUCGUCUCCCGAGGCCCUUCCAAUGCGCUUACCUACCUGGAGCCUCUCGCUGGGACAGGCACAAAGAACAGGACCUAAGAAUUCCAUUUCUAAGAGUGAGUAUAGUAAGCAGGGGUAGAAAAAUAUAUGCACAUCACCUUGAGUGGAACCCGGUAGGGCUUGGUGUGAGGCCCAUCUUACAAGGUUCUAGUGAAAUAAAAAAACAUGACAACAUAGGACAGAAUGGGCUUUAAGUUCAGCGCAUUGAAUUAAGUGGGCUGAUUACUGUUCAGUGAGAGAAUGGGUAAUAUGGAGGAAGAGGAGGAAGGGGGGAAGGAGAAGGAGAUGGAGAGAAUAUUGUAGCCGCAGAAGACUAUAUCCUGAACCUUAAGGCACUAAAACCCACACGCUUCCCAAAGGGAGUCUCUCCAUGUCACUCACUACCUAGACAUCGGUAUCAUUUCUUCACUGCGUGUGCCGUCAUCAGAGGCGCUCCCAAUGAUGUCAGCUGCUCCUCUUGGCACGUAACCUUUGGCAGAAAUAGCACGCAUUUGCUCCUGCCCGACUCCGGGUAGCAAGUCCACCUAGAUAAAGCCCUCCCCUCAAGGCCGUCUCCCCACCGAUGACCUCUGGGGCACUCAGGCUCAGCUUUCCUGCUUUGAGAACUUCCUAGUUAAGUCCCCCUUAUCACUGGGAAAACCUGACCUCUAACAUGCAAAGCGGGUCAUGGAGCAGGGAGAACGGAACCCUCUGACUUUAAAGUCAACUUGGCUUUGCUUACCUUUGAAAUAGAGCACUUGUAUUUUGAAACUGUUUAUGAGAAGUUCUCUGAGUACUGAACUGCAAACGCAGAUACCAAGAAAUUCUGGGGCCAGAGUGUCCAAAUAACUGGGAUAAGGACAAUUGAGUUGAACAGUAAUAAAAUCUGGCACUGAUUGUUUAGGCUUUUGAAU
rnacentral:lncRNA from 1 species